rnacentral:rRNA from 1 species
AGAGUUUGAUCAUGGCUCAGAUUGAACGCUGGCGGCAGGCCUAACACAUGCAAGUCGAGCGGUAGCACAGAGAGCUUGCUCUCGGGUGACGAGCGGCGGACGGGUGAGUAAUGUCUGGGAAACUGCCUGAUGGAGGGGGAUAACUACUGGAAACGGUAGCUAAUACCGCAUAANGUCGCAAGACCAAAGUGGGGGACCUUCGGGCCUCAUGCCAUCAGAUGUGCCCAGAUGGGAUUAGCUAGUAGGUGGGGUAACGGCUCACCUAGGCGACGAUCCCUAGCUGGUCUGAGAGGAUGACCAGCCACACUGGAACUGAGACACGGUCCAGACUCCUACGGGAGGCAGCAGUGGGGAAUAUUGCACAAUGGGCGCAAGCCUGAUGCAGCCAUGCCGCGUGUGUGAAGAAGGCCUUCGGGUUGUAAAGCACUUUCAGCGGGGAGGAAGGCGGUGAGGUUAAUAACCUCAUCGAUUGACGUUACCCGCAGAAGAAGCACCGGCUAACUCCGUGCCAGCAGCCGCGGUAAUACGGAGGGUGCAAGCGUUAAUCGGAAUUACUGGGCGUAAAGCGCACGCAGGCGGUCUGUCAAGUCGGAUGUGAAAUCCCCGGGCUCAACCUGGGAACUGCAUUCGAAACUGGCAGGCUAGAGUCUUGUAGAGGGGGGUAGAAUUCCAGGUGUAGCGGUGAAAUGCGUAGAGAUCUGGAGGAAUACCGGUGGCGAAGGCGGCCCCCUGGACAAAGACUGACGCUCAGGUGCGAAAGCGUGGGGAGCAAACAGGAUUAGAUACCCUGGUAGUCCACGCCGUAAACGAUGUCGAUUUGGAGGUUGUGCCCUUGAGGCGUGGCUUCCGGAGCUAACGCGUUAAAUCGACCGCCUGGGGAGUACGGCCGCAAGGUUAAAACUCAAAUGAAUUGACGGGGGCCCGCACAAGCGGUGGAGCAUGUGGUUUAAUUCGAUGCAACGCGAAGAACCUUACCUGGUCUUGACAUCCACAGAACUUUCCAGAGAUGGAUUGGUGCCUUCGGGAACUGUGAGACAGGUGCUGCAUGGCUGUCGUCAGCUCGUGUUGUGAAAUGUUGGGUUAAGUCCCGCAACGAGCGCAACCCUUAUCCUUUGUUGCCAGCGGUNCGGCCGGGAACUCAAAGGAGACUGCCAGUGAUAAACUGGAGGAAGGUGGGGAUGACGUCAAGUCAUCAUGGCCCUUACGACCAGGGCUACACACGUGCUACAAUGGCAUAUACAAAGAGAAGCGACCUCGCGAGAGCAAGCGGACCUCAUAAAGUAUGUCGUAGUCCGGAUUGGAGUCUGCAACUCGACUCCAUGAAGUCGGAAUCGCUAGUAAUCGUAGAUCAGAAUGCUACGGUGAAUACGUUCCCGGGCCUUGUACACACCGCCCGUCACACCAUGGGAGUGGGUUGCAAAAGAAGUAGGUAGCUUAACCUUCGGGAGGGCGCUUACCACUUUGUGAUUCAUGACUGGGGUGAAGUCGUAACAAGGUAACCGUAGGGGAACCUGCGGUUGGAUCACCU